rnacentral:tRNA from 1 species
CGCCUUCUGAGCAAGUCUGGUCUAGGCUUCAAGCCUUGGGCGCUUGAGAUCGCCGGUUCAAAUCCGGCCGACCCCACCA